rnacentral:rRNA from 1 species
UACAGAGGUCUCAAGCGUUGUUCGGAUUCAUUGGGCGUAAAGGGUGCGUAGGUGGCGCCGUAAGUCGGGUGUGAAAUUUCGGAGCUUAACUCCGAAACUGCAUUCGAUACUGCGGUGCUUGAGGACUGGAGAGGAGACUGGAAUUCAUGGUGUAGCAGUGAAAUGCGUAGAGAUCAUGAGGAAGACCAGUGGCGAAGGCGGCGAUCUGGGAAGAUACUGACGCUGAGGUGCGAAAGCGUGGGGAGCAAACAGG